rnacentral:rRNA from 1 species
AGAGUUUGAUCAUGGCUCAGGAUGAACGCUGGCGGUAUGCCUAACACAUGCAAGUCGAACGAUGUCUUCGGACAUAGUGGCGGACGGGUGAGUAACGCGUGAGAAUCUGCCUCUAGGAUGGGGAUAACGGUUGGAAACGACCGCUAACACCCAAUAUGCCGUAAGGUGAAAAAUUUAUUGCCUGGAGAGGAGCUCGCGUCUGAUUAGCUAGUUGGUGGGGUAAGAGCUCACCAAGGCUUCGAUCAGUAGCUGGUCUGAGAGGAUGAGCAGCCACACUGGGACUGAGACACGGCCCAGACUCCUACGGGAGGCAGCAGUGGGGAAUUUUCCGCAAUGGGCGAAAGCCUGACGGAGCAAUACCGCGUGAGGGAGGAAUGCCUUUGGGUUGUAAACCUCUUUUCUCAGGGAAGAAGAUCUGACGGUACCUGAGGAAUAAGUAUCGGCUAACUCCGUGCCAGCAGCCGCGGUAAUACGGAGGAUGCAAGCGUUAUCCGGAAUCAUUGGGCGUAAAGCGUCCGCAGGUGGUUUCCAAAGUCUGCUGUUAAAGACUGGAGCUCAACUCCGGAACGGCGGUGGAAACUUGGAAACUAGAGUUCGGUAGGGGUAGCAGGAAUUCCCAGUGUAGCGGUGAAAUGCGUAGAUAUUGGGAAGAACAUCGGUGGCGAANGCGUGCUACUGGACCGUAACUGACACUCAGGGACGAAAGCUAGGGGAGCGAAAGGGAUUAGAUACCCCUGUAGUCCUAGCUGUAAACGAUGGAAACUAGGUGUGGCUUGUAUCGA